ACUUGGAUAACCGUAGUAAUUCUAGUGCUAAUACAUGCAACGACGCCCGACCGUUUCACUACGGAAGGGCUGUAUAUAUUGGAUACCAAAACCAUCCUUCCCUCGGGAAGUUUUGUUUGAUGAUUCACAAUGACUGAUCGGAUCGCCACUGUGGUGGCGACAGGUCAUUCAACAUUCUGCCCUAUCAGCUUUCGAUGGUUGUGUAGUGGACAACCAUGGCCAUAACGGGUAACGGAGAAUCAGGGUUCGAUUCCGGAGAAGGAGCUUGAGAAUUGGCUACUACAUCUAAGGAAGGCAGCAGGCGCGCAAAUUACCCAAUCCCGAUUCGGGGAGGUAGUGACAAAAAAUAACAAUACCGGGCCUUUUUGGGCUUGGUAAUUGGAAUGAGGGAGAGUUAAACGGACCAUCGAGUAUCCAUUGGAGGGCAAGUCUGGUGCCAGCAGCUGCGGUAAUACCAGCUCCAAUAGCGUAUAUUAAAGUUGUUGCAGUUAAAAAGCUCGUAGUUGGACUUGUGUGCGCUGUCCGCGGGUGGCCUGCGCCCAAAAGGGCGUUUCGGUUCGGCCCCGGUGGCGCCUUGAAAUCUGCAGCUGGGGGGACGUUGGCCUUAACUGGUCGGCGACCGCACGCCGGCUGCUCGGUUACUGUGAGAAAAUUAGAGUGUUCAAGGCAGGCAUUGGGUGCAAUUGAAUACAUUAGCAUGGAAUAAUAAAAUAUGGCUCCUGCCGUAUUUUGUUGGUUUUGACUGGUGGGAGUAAUGAUUGAUAGGGACGGUUGGGGGUGCUAGUAUUGAGCGGCCAGAGGUGAAAUUCAUGGAUUCGCUCAAGACUAACUUAUGCGAAAGCAUUCACCAAGGACGUCCUCUUUAAUCAAGAACGAAAGUUGGGGGAUCGAAGACGAUCAGAUACCGUCGUAGUCUCAACCAUAAACUAUGUCGACUUGGGAUCGGCGGUAGUUUUUUCAUUAAGACACUGUCGGGACCGCGGGAGAAAUCAAAGUGUCUGGACUCUGGGGGAAGUAUGGUCGCAAGGCUGAAACUUGAAGGAAUUGACGGAAGGGCACCACCAGGAGUGGAGCCUGCGGCUUAAUUUGACCCAACACGGGGAAACUUACCAGGUCCAGAGAUGUAGAGGAUGACAGAUUGAAGCUCUUUCUUGAUCACUUCGGUGGUGGUGCAUGGCCGUUCUUAGUUGGUGGAGUGAUUUGUCUGGUUAAUUCCGUUAACGAACGAGACCUCAGCCUGCUAGUGUAGUCGGCUGGAUUGCU
rnacentral:rRNA from 1 species